GUAGGUGGCAAGCGUUGUCCGGAAUUAUUGGGCGUAAAGCGCGCGCAGGCGGUUCUUUAAGUCUGAUGUGAAAGCCCACGGCUCAACCGUGGAGGGUCAUUGGAAACUGGGGAACUUGAGUGCAGGAGAGGAAAGUGGAAUUCCACGUGUAGCGGUGAAAUGCGUAGAUAUGUGGAGGAACACCAGUGGCGAAGGCGACUUUCUGGCCUGUAACUGACACUGAGGCGCGAAAGCGUGGGGAGCAAACAGGAUUAGAUACCCUGGUAGUCCACGCCGUAAACGAUGAGUGCUAAGUGUUGGGGGGGUUUUCCGCCCCCCCUCAGUGCUGCAGCUAACGCAUUAAGCACUCCGCCUGGGAGUACGGUCGCAAGACUG
rnacentral:rRNA from 1 species